rnacentral:rRNA from 1 species
ACUGAGACACGGUCCAGACUCCUACGGGAGGCAGCAGUGGGGAAUAUUGCACUAUGGGCGCAUAGUCUUGAUGCAGCCAUGCCGCGUGUAUGAAGAAGGCCUUCGGGUUGUAAAGUACUUUCAGUGGGGAGGAAGGCGAUUUGAGUUAAUAGCUUCAUCGAUUGACGUUUCCCGCAGAAGAAGCACCGGCUAUUUCCGUGCCAGCAGCCGCGGUAAUACGGAGGGUGCAAGCGUUAAUCGGAAUUACUGGGCGUAAAGCGCACGCAGGCGGUCUGUCAAGUCGGAUGUGAAAUCCCCGGGCUCAACCUGGGAACUGCAUUCGAAACUGGCAGGCUAGAGUCUUGUAGAGCGGGGUAGAAUUCCAGGUGUAGCGGUGAAAUGCGUAAGAUCUGGAGGAAUACCGGUGGCGAAGGCGGCCCCCUGGACAAAGACUGAUGCUCAGGUACGAAAAGCUGGGGGAGCAAACAGGAUUAGAUACCCUGGUAGUCCACGCCAGUAAUACGAUGUCGACUUGGAGGUUGUGCGCUUGAGGCGUGGCUUCCGCAGCUAACGCGUUAAGUCCACCGCCUGGGGAGUACGGCCUCAAGGUUAAAACUCAAAUGAAUUGACGGGGGCCCGCACAAGCGGUGGACCUUGUGGUUUUAUUCAAUGCAACGCGAAGAAC